CCCAUUUUUUCACCCCAAAAUCCCAUUUUUCCCCACCUUUAGCAGCUGCACUCAGCCCUGGCCCCGAGCCCUGCCCCUCCAGCGCCCCCAAUCCCACUUCAGUCCCCCAAAAUCCCAUUUUCACCCCCAAACCCCAGGAUUUUUAGCCCCAAAAACUCUCAAAAAAAUCUCAUUUUAACCCAACCUUUACCAGUUUCAGCCCCUCCAGCCUCCCAAUCCCUGAGGAGCCUCCUCAGCUCCGCCAGCACCCCAGAUCCCAUUCUAACCCAUUCCAUCCCAUUCUAACCAAUUCCAAACCAUUCCAACCCAUUCUAACUCCAUUUAACCCCUUCUAACCCAUUCUAACCCCAUUCCAACCCAUUCCAACCCAUUAACCCAUUCUAACCCAUUCCAACCCAUUCUAACCUCCUUCUAACACAUUCCAACCCCAUUUUAACCCAUUCUAAUCUCAUUCUAAACCAUUCCAACCCAUUCUAACCCUUUCUAAUCUCAUUUUAACCACAUUAUAACCCAUUCCCCAUUCUCUAACCCAUUCUAACCUCCUUCUAACCCAUUCCAACCCAUUCUAACCCAUUCUCUAACCCAUUCUAACCUCCUUCUAACCCAUUCCAACCCAUUCUAACCCAUUCUCUAACCCAUUCUAACCUCCUUCUAACCCAUUCCAACCCAUUCUAACCCAUUCUCUAACCCAUUCUAACCUCCUUCUAACCCAUUCUAACCCAUUCUAACCCCAUUCCCCCCCCCCCCCCCCCCCCCCCCCCCCCCCCCCCCCCCCCCCCCCCCCCCCCCCCCCCCCCCCCCCCCCCCCCCCCCCCCCCCCCCCCCCCCCCCCCCCCCCCCCCCCCCCCCCCCCCCCCUUCCGAUCUAUUCUAACCCAUUCUAACCCAUUUAACCCAUUCUAACCCAUUCCAACCCAUUCUAACCUCCUUCUAACACAUUCCAACCCCAUUUUAACCCAUUCUAAUCUCAUUCUAAACCAUUCUAACCCAUUC
rnacentral:lncRNA from 12 species